CGAAAGCCUGACGGAGCAAUACCGCGUGAGGGAUGAAAGCCUGUGGGUUGUAAACCUCUUUUCUCAAGGAAGAAAUUCUGACGGUACUUGAGGAAUAAGCAUCGGCUAACUCUGUGCCAGCAGCCGCGGUAAUACAGAGGAUGCAAGCGUUAUCCGGAAUCACUGGGCAUAAAGCGUCUGUAGGUUGCUUAGCAAGUCUGUUGUUAAAGAUCAGGGCCUAACCCUGGGAAAGCAAUGGAAACUACUAGGCUUGAGUAUGGUAGAGGUAGAGGGAAUUCCUGGUGUAGCGGUGAAAUGCGUAGAUAUCGGGAAGAACACCAGUGGCGAAAGCGCUCUGCUGGGCCAUAACUGACGCUCAUGGACGAAAGCCAGGGGAGCGAAAG
rnacentral:rRNA from 1 species